GGGAGGAGGAGUCACGAGGAGGGUGGCCCGGCCCGACCGAGCCCUGAGCCCUCUGCCCUCCGCCCCAGCCCGCACUUCGGUCCUGCCCAGCCACGCACCUUGCUCCUCACCGCUCUCCUGCUUUCUUCCGGGCUCCGGAGGCCAUCACAAUGGGAGAUGCUCUCUGGGCACUUGGGAGAAUUGACUGUCCUACUACUACUAUUGUGCUCGCCCAACCAAUAUUUAUUGAUGCCCGCGAAGUCCUGGGGCACAAGGGGCAAAGAACUGGAACCGCCUUGGACCCUGCCUGCCCUCAAGUUGCUUCAAGAUUACUGGGGAUCGGACCUCUGCAUCCUUGAUAGAAAUGUUCAAGAGGACCUCCAGAGGCCAGGCUGACCCUGAAUUCAUAGCACUGACUGAUACAGCAGUUUAAGCAGACAUACAGAGGCUGGAAGAAUUGAUGACGAACAGACUCAUGCUAAAAGAAAUGUUAAAGGAAAUCCUCAGGAAGACAAAAAAAGAUAUCAGAUGGAAAUAUGGAGCUACACAAAGGAAUGAAGAGCAUUAGAAAUGGUAUUUACCCAAGAGAACUGAAAACAUUUGUCCACACGAAGACUGUACACCAGUGUUCAUAGUAGCGUCAUCUGUAAUAGCCCCAAACUGGAAACAACCCAAACAAACAACAAACAACAAACAACCCUGUUGUUUGUCCAUCACCAGGAGAAUGGAUAAACAAAUUGCUGUAUAUUCCCACCAUGAAAUACUACUCAGCAACAAAAAGGAAUCAACUAGGGGCUUCCCUGGUGGCGCAGUGGUUGAGAGUCUGCCUGCCAAUGCAGGGGACGCGGGCUCGAGCCCUGGUCUGGGAAGAUCCCACAUGACACGGAGCAGGUGGGCCCGUGAGCCACAGCUGCUGAGCCUGCGCGUCUGGAGCCUGUGCUCCGCGGCAAGAGAGGCCGCGAUGGUGAGAGACCCGCGCAUCGCGAUGAAGAGUGGCCCCCGCUUGCCACAACUAGAGAAGGCCCUUGCACAGAAACGAAGACCCAACACAACUAAAAU